GUAGUCUGUGAUCUUAUUCACUAGAUAGACAGAGAGAGAUUAUAGGAGAGAUGGAUCAAUCGAAAUGUCCCCCAGUCUCUACAGUACAUGGGUGGUUAUUGUGAUGUCAUGGUGUGUAACCUACUCAGGUGGUAGAGAGCUAACAAGAGGUCUUCCUCUGACAGAACAAUAGACUAGUCAACUCUCCCUCCCUGUCGCCCUCUCUGAUGUGGUAGAGAGCUAACAAGAGGUCUUCCUCUGACAGAACAAUAGACUAGUCAACUCUCCCUCCCUGUCGCCCUCUCUGAUGUGGUAGAGAGCUAACAAGAGGUCUUCCUCUGACAGAACAAUAGACUAG